rnacentral:rRNA from 1 species
GAUGAACGCUGGCGGCGUGCCUAAUACAUGCAAGUCGAGCGAACGAACGAGAAGCUUGCUUCUCUGAUGUUAGCGGCGGACGGGUGAGUAACACGUGGAUAACCUACCUAUAAGACUGGGAUAACUUCGGGAAACCGGAGCUAAUACCGGAUAAUAUUUUGAACCGCAUGGUUCAAAAGUGAAAGACGGUCUUGCUGUCACUUAUACAUGGAUCCGCGCUGCAUUAGCUAGUUGGUAAGGUAACGGCUUACCAAGGCAACGAUGCAUAGCCGACCUGAGAGGGUGAUCAGCCACACUGGAACUGAGACACGGUCCAGACUCCUACGGGAGGCAGCAGUAGGGAAUAUUCCGCAAUGGGCGAAAGCCUGACGGAGCAACGCCGCGUGAGUGAUGAAGGUCUUCGGAUCGUAAAACUCUGUUAUUAGGGAAGAACAUAAGUGUAAGUAACUGUGCACAUCUUGACGGUACCUAAUCAGAAAGCCACGGCUAACUACGUG